rnacentral:lncRNA from 1 species
CCUUCCCGUUAGUAUAUUAGUGUCCAAACGCGCCCCCUACCCCCUUAUCGUCUCUUUCAUAGAGACUCCAACCUUAAAUCCUAGAAGCUGCCGGUGGAUUCCCCACUACCAUUGUUGGCGGCGCCACCUCAAAUACACACCAAAUUCACACCAUAACACCAUUUUCCUCCCCUCAUGUCGAAUCUGUCGCUGGUUUUCCUCGAAUCACUGUGGAACUCGUCGAAUCUUCAAUCGAAAGUUAGACCAAAAAACCUAACUUCUCCCAAAUCACCCCAAAUUAACACCCCUGAAUCCCCGUAGUCCUCUCUUUCCUAAUCUCAAACUCUGGACUCUCGAAUCACCUUCAAGCUCGUCGAAUGUUGAAUCUGAAGCCCGAGCUUUUGAAGCCAAAUCCAAGCCGUGCAUGCAAGAUCAUCUCUCCGGUGUUUAUGAGCGUUCAAGGCCGAUUUUAUCGCGAAACAAUGUUAUUCGCCUGUUCUUGACAAAGAACAAUUGAUUAAUAUUAUUUUACUGUUUAAAUCGAAAGUCAGUUGCGAGUUCGAGUGUUGGGUGAGUUCCAUUUCUUUGUUUGUCCAUUUUCGUUCGUCUUUUGUCUUCCUCCUCUUCUUCUUCUAUGAUUGUUCAAAUGGCAUGUUCUUGGUCUAAAUUUGUUGAAGAAUUUUGAACCCGGCUGUCCCCUUUAGAUUAAUUUAGGGUACAUUUCGUCAGUCUUUCAGUCUUUCUUUUUCAAGCUUCUACUUGAUGUUCUUCGUCUUCUUAAUUUUAUGUUAAGUUAUGGCAUUUUCUGUUAAUUAGCUUGAAUUGGGUUUUAUUAAUUUGAUUAAUUUAGUUUAAUCCAUAGUUCAUUGGAGUUGCAUUUUUGUUGUUUUCCUGAUUUCUGGCUAAGUUUUAGUUUUCAUUUCAAAUUUGUUGGUUAAUCCUAGUGCGUAAUCAUUGAGGUUAAUUAGUUUUGUUCAUCAUAUGCGUUGAUUUUUAUUCCAAUGGCUUCUUCUUAGUUUAUGUUUGUGUGAAAAUGAUCUAAGUGUAAUUCAAAAGUUCAGGUGUACUCGUUGGGGGUCAUUCGAGCAUGUUUUUUCAAUUCUCUAGCAUUUUUGAAAAUCCCAUUUGAGGUUCUUGUGAUAGACCAGGUCCUCUUGAUUUAAUAUGAUUCAUAGUUGUUAGGUGCAUUCCCAGUCCUGCAUUUUAUCUAUUUUCGAUCCAUCUCAAGGUAUUUGCUCGUUUGUUCUUUGUUUGUUUAUGUUUGUAGAUAUUCAGUACUUUAAGGGGGGCAAUUGAAUAAUCAGAAACUUAAGGGGUAGUUUGGGGAUUGAACCAACUUGGGGAAUCUCUCAAUAACUGAUUGGGCGGCUUCUUAGAUGGACAGCUGCCCAAAUUCAUUUGGGAAAAUAGGCUGAAAGAUGAAAAUAUCUGAAAGAAAUGGACAGCUGUCCAGAAUUCAGUUUCAAAACAUGUCUUGUGGGGGUAUUUUGGGCAAUUGGACUACCUUGCCUUGGAAGGCACACCACAAACCCUCCCCUCCUAUAAAUGAAACCUGCUCUUCACUCAAUAGACAAUUUUUUGGAAUACUCUGAAAAUCAAAAAAAAUAGCUAAGAAAUCCAUUGAAAGUUACUGUUCUCCUUCUUUGAUUUUCUUAGUUUUCAAUUGUUGAAAGUCGAUGGAGUUUGUGUUGUUUGCUUGGUUUUAAUUCUCUGAACCACUCUGUUGGUUUAAAAAAAAUUGGAAAACUUCUGAAAACUGAGAAUCUUGUUAAAAUGAAUUGAACUUGGGUUUGUGGAAGUUUGGUUUAAAGUGUGAGGUCACUGUUCAAUUGUAAUUGUCUUCUGGAUUGCUGCAUCUCACUCUUGGGUUCGAGUUUGGUUUGGUUAUUCCUAGUUGUUGGGUUCUGCUACUUUUCUGCUUGAAUACUGACCUCCUCUUGUUUCUUUCAUUUCAUAUUCCAGGUACAUGUUUCUAGACUCAUCUCACAUGAGGCUUGAUAUUGAAGUAAAAUGAAAUCUGGAGGUCUAAAUAUGGUUUCUACAUGUUCAGAUCCUUUAGUUCAGUUUCAGUCUUUUUGGAGUUAACUGAUGCAUUGUAUGUUCGAUAUGAGAACUCUUAGCCAGCUUGCAUCUGUUUGGAAUUAGUAGGGCCCUGUAGUUAAAUGUUGCUUGCUUUUGAAAUUCUUGCUAUUACAGCUGGUCUUGGACUGUUGAGAAAUGAACUUGAUAAAAGUAUUGAUCAUCAGUUAAAUUUUGUAAUUAAGCAGUGUUAGCUAAGCGUAUGAUGCUAGAUCCUUUAUGCCCUUGCAGCUCAUUUGAAUAUUGAGGCCUAAUGAUAUGCCCAGGAUUUCAUGUUACUAUUUGAUAGGUUAAGUUGUAUGAUAUGAAUAUUAGUUGAAUGUUUUAUUUUGAAAAUCAACAACUGUUUUGAAAUUGUCUGAGAAGGAUGAGUUAAGGUAAGAAAAAUG